UCGAGAAUUUUUCUCAAUGGGCGAAAGCCUGAAGGAGCGACGCCGCGUGGGGGAUGAAUGCCUUCGGCCCGUAAACCCCUGUCAUUUGCGAACAAACCUCGUGAUUUAACAGAUGACGAGCUGAUUGUAGCGAAAGAGGAAGGGACGGCUAACUCUGUGCCAGCAGCCGCGGUAAUACGGAGGUCCCAAGCGUUGUUCGGAUUCACUGGGCGUAAAGGGUGCGUAGGUGGUUGGGUAAGUCUGAUGUGAAAUCUCCGGGCCUAACCCGGAAACUGCAUCGGAUACUAUUCGACUGGAGGGUUGGAGGGGGGACUGGAAUACUUGGUGUAGCAGUGAAAUGCGUAGAUAUCAAGUGGAACACCAGUGGCGAAGGCGAGUCCCUGGACAACUCCUGACACUGAGGCACGAAAGCUAGGGGAGCAAACAGGAUUAGAUACCCCCGUAGUCCCUGAGCGGGCUGGCAAGGCGCAU
rnacentral:rRNA from 1 species